UACGGAGGGUGCAAGCGUUAAUCGGAAUUACUGGGCGUAAAGCGUGCGCAGGCGGUUUGUUAAGUCCGUUGUGAAAGCCCCGAGCUCAACUUGGGAAUUGCAGUGGAUACUGGCAGGCUGGAGUACGGUAGAGGAAGGUGGAAUUCCCGGUGUAGCAGUGAAAUGCGUAGAUAUCAGGAGGAACACCUGCGGUGUAGACGGCUUUCUGGACCAUUGCUGACGCUGAGACACGAAAGCGUGGGUAGCAAACAGG
rnacentral:rRNA from 1 species